rnacentral:rRNA from 1 species
UGCUCCCUGAUUCAGCGGCGGACGGGUGAGUAAUGCCUAGGAAUCUGCCUAUUACUGGGGGACAACGCUUUCGAAAGGAACGCUAAUACCGCAUACGUCCUACGGGAGAAAGCAGGGGACCUUCGGGCCUUGCGCUAAUAGAUGAGCCUACGUCGGAUUAUCUAGUUGGUGAGGUAAUGGCUCACCAAGGCGACGAUCCGUAACUGGUCUGAGAGGAUGAUCACUCACACUGGAACUGAGACACGGUCCAGACUCCUACGGGAGGCAGCAGUGGGGAAUAUUGGACAAUGGGCGAAAGCCUGAUCCAGCCAUGCCGCGUGUGUGAAGAAGGUCUUCGGAUUGUAAAGCACUUUAUGUUGGGAGGAAGGGUUGUAGAUUAAUACUCUGCAAUUUUGACGUUACCGACAGAAUAAUCACCGGCUAACUCUGUGCCAGCAGCCGCGGUAAUACAGAGGGUGCAAGCGUUAAUCGGAAUUACUGGGCGUAAAGCGCGCGUAGGUGCUUUGUUAAGUUGGAUGUGAAAGCCCCGGGCUCAACCUGGGAACUGCAUCCAAAACUGGCCAGCUAUACUACGGUAGAAGGUGGUGUAAUUUCCUGUGUAGCGAUGAACUGCAGUAGAAUUUUAAA